rnacentral:rRNA from 1 species
CACCUACCCAUUACUGGAGGAUAGCCCGAAGAAAUUCGGAUUAAUACUCCAUAGUAUAGUGAAGAGGCAUCUCUUUAUUAUUAAAACUACGGUGGUAAUGGAUGGGCAUGCGUUGCAUUAGCUAGUUGGUGAGGUAAUGGCUCACCAAGGCUACGAUGCAUAGGGGAUCUGAGAGGAUUAUCCCCCACACUGGUACUGAGACACGGACCAG